GUGGGGAAUAUUGGGCAAUGGGCGAAAGCCUGACCCAGCAACGCCGCGUGAGGGAAGAAGGCCUUCGGGUUGUAAACCUCUGUCCUUGGUGACGAAAAAAAUGACGGUAGCCAAGGAGGAAGCCCCGGCUAACUACGUGCCAGCAGCCGCGGUAAUACGUAGGGGGCGAGCGUUGUCCGGAAUUACUGGGCGUAAAGGGUGCGUAGGCGGCCGAUUAAGUUGGAUGUGAAAUACCCGGGCUUAACCUGGGGGGUGCAUCAAAUACUGGUUGGCUAGAGUGCAGGAGAGGGAAGCGGAAUUCCUAGUGUAGCGGUGAAAUGCGUAGAUAUUAGGAGGAACACCAGUGGCGAAGGCGGCUUUCUGGACUGUAACUGACGCUGAUGCACGAAAGCGUGGGGAGCAAACAGGAUUAGAUACCCUAGUAGUCC
rnacentral:rRNA from 1 species